GAAAUGCGAUAACUAGUGUGAAUUGCAGAAUUCCGUGAAUCAUCGAGUCUUUGAACACACAUUGCGCCCCCUGGUAUUCCGGGGGGCAUGCCUGUCCGAGCGUCAUUGCUGCCCAUCAAGCACGGCUUGUGUGUUGGGUCGUCGUCCCCUCUCCGGGGGGACGGGCCCCAAAGGCAGCGGCGGCACCGCGUCCGAUCCUCGAGCGUAUGGGGCUUUGUCACCCGCUCUGUAGGCCCGGCCGGCGCUUGCCGAACGCAAAUCAAUCUUUUUCCAGGUUGACCUCGGAUCAGGUAGGGAUACCCGCUGAACUUAAGC
rnacentral:misc_RNA from 1 species